rnacentral:rRNA from 1 species
AGAGAGAGACAUGCGCGCAUAUCAAUAAGCGGAGGAAAAGAAACUAACAAGGAUUCCCCUAGUAACGGCGAGUGAAGCGGGAAGAGCUCAAAUUUGAAAUCUUAAAGGGUUUCCCUUUACGAAUUGUAGUUUAAAGAAGUGUUUUCUGUUGAGGUUUUGGUAAAAGUUCUUUGGAAUAGGACAUCAUAGAGGGUGAGAAUCCCGUAUUUGACCUUUACUUUCAACUUUGUGAUACACUUUCAAAGAGUCGGAUUGUUUGGGAAUGCAGUCCAAAAUGGGUGGUAAAUUUCAUCUAAAGCUAAAUAUUGGCGAGAGACCGAUAGCGAACAAGUACCGUGAGGGAAAGAUGAAAAGAACUUUGAAAAGAGAGUUAAACAGUACGUGAAAUUGUCAAAAGGGAAGCGUUUGACACCAGUGUUGUUUUUCUGAAAAUCAAUUAAAGAACUGUUUAUGCUAAGUUGUUUAGACUUUAUCAGCUAAUCUGUUUAGUUUUGAGCUUUUCUUUAAUGCACUUUUCAGUUAACAAGUCAACAUCAAUUUCUUUUGCUGUAAAAAAGCUUGAGGAAGGUGGCUUGAGAUUCGUCUUAAGUGUUUAUAGCCUCUUGCCUAUGCAGUCGGAGAGAUUGAGGUCUGCAGCGUAGAUCCUUCGGGGCUAAAUGCAUUUGUGCUAAGUUAUAGCAUUUUAUAGACAACUUGUUGACUAUGAUUUGUCUUGUAGCUUACUCGCUUAUGUUAUUUUACCUACGCUUAGGAUGUUGACGCAUGAGAUAUACGC